UUUUUUUUUUUUUUUUUUUUUUUUUUUUUUUUUUGCACCGUAUCUAUUAUUAACGAACACCCUGGUGACAGAAUAGUUUUGUAUUUUACCGUGAUACAAAGAGCUCGAUUGUGUUCUGUACCCUCCAUAGGAAGCUCAUUGUCUGCAAAAGUGGUCCUAUUUCCUUUGAAGAUCAUGCGAGAAAUCUUUUCUAAUUGGUUUAUUGUGAUAUUAUCAGGAACAUGUUCCACGUUUAUAAUCUUCAUUAUGGCCCCGCGGUGUUCAUCCAAAUGUGUCAACAAAGAUAACAGAGAAAUAUUAGCUGGAUUUUACCUUAAUUGUUCAACAAUGGAACAAUAUUGCACUUUCAUCUUCCUCAAGAACUCUCCAGCCUCUUCCUCGGUGACUGACUUCUUUACUUGCAUUUUGCUAACCUUGAAGCAUUUUGGCCUUCCUUAGUUUAUUGGAAGUAAGAUGUCCUCCGAAAUGAAUUGGUUCUCCGAUCUCAACAAAUUCUUCCUACACUUCUUUUCCCUUGUGUGUCAUUGUUGCUCGUUUGUAGUUCCACGGGACAUCCUUUGUCUCAACCACUAGCAACUGAUCACUGUGUUAAGAGAAACAUGGGUAGUGGUGGUCAUUUGCACAACUAUAACAUGUUUUCUUGGAAUCCGUAAUACCAUCAACUUUGACUUUUUCCGACUUGCCCCGACACCAUUCAAAGACCCUUUUGCAAAUAUCGCACGUUUUCUAAAUACUUCAUCUUGCUCCACAACCUUAGCGGGUUUGGCAAUUUCAAUGGGAGGCCCGAAAUGAGGAGCGAAACAAUAUGGAUUCGAGGUCUUGAAAGUUGAUUUUGUACCAUAGUAUUGGGCAUUAGGAACUUUGAACAAGGUUUCACUAGACGUUAAAAGGAUGUCGGCAUGGGGAGGAGCUGAAAAACAUGAGUAGUUAAUGACAUGCUUGUAUUGGCAGGUGGAAUGUGAAAAGGCUGGGACAAGAUGCUAGGGUAGUUGUAGCAAGGGAUAAAUCCUGAGGUAUGUUGUGGGGAGAGAUUAGCAUCAUUGGAAUCUGGGAUUGUGGUGGUAGUGGGACAAAAGCAAGAUUUUCGAUGUGGUUGGUGGGGAAUGAGUGUAGAGGGUGCCCACUUAUCCAAGCCUGCUACAUCUCCGUUACCUAGCAUUUCAACCUUUGGGCUUCUUCUUCCAACUCAAAUUCCAAUUCGACAACACCUAUGUCUGAUCCCUUACUAGUCAUGGCUGUUUGACCUAGAGUGUAUGGAUGACUUGCCCGAAUGCCACAAACUAACGACCUACCUAGUACUUAGUACAUCACAAACAACCUUGUUAUCGAUUAGGGCUUUAACAUAUUGGUAACGCACGUUUGGGAAAUGAGUGCACCUAAGCAGUUAACCAUUUCUAUUAUGCAUUUGUUCGGCUGCUUGCGUCAUCUUGGCUUUUCUUUAUUUCCAUUUACAGCUUCUCUUUUCUUUCUUCUUUUUCCUUUUCAUUCUUUCCUUUUCCCUCUCUUUGUUUUUUUUCCUCUCAUUUACCUCUCUUAUUUUGCCAAUGCUUCCUUCUCACGGUUUCUUAUUUUCUCUCUUCUCUUUUGUUUCUUUCCUCUCUUUUCAUUCUUUUCUUUCCUUUCCUCUCCCUUUUUUCUCUUUUCUUUUCUCCUUGGUUACGGUCGAAUCCUAUGGAGAUUGCCUAUGUAUCAUGACCCCGCAUGAAUCAGACCAAGCAUAGUUCUUGAAGAUAAAAGAAAUAAUAAAAGAUUUUGGGAUUUUUAAAUUUAUCAUAAAAAUAAAAUGUUUUGAUUACAAUGACUCAUCCUACCGAAUAUUUUACCAUAAAACAAACAAACUCAAAAAGGAAACUAAAAGAAGAAAAAUCAAGACUCAUUUUGACUCAAAAAGUUAUCACUAUUUUUUAAAUAAUUUCAUUAAAAUAUGUGGCUUUGCCAAUACGGCCUUUCAGCACCUCGAGGAAGAAGAUUUUAAAGUUUUGUUCGCUAACCGGCCAAAACCUUGAAAAAUGAACAAAGGCAGCUGCUCUUGAAAAAGUAGCCUUUCGGCGCCCUUUUGGGACCAUUCGGUAAUUUGAAGAAUGACAUUACCUUACUUAUUCACAAUAAAAAUAAUUUUUUUAUUCUUUUUUGGCUGUUUUUCAAAAAGAAAGUUGGACUCGAUAAAGGUUGCCUACGUAUCCAACACCCUGUGAGAACUGAACAGGCGUAGUUCGGGUAGAUAAUACAAAACCAACUAUUUUUGAAAACAAAAUAUUCUCUUCUUUUUUUUCAGUUUCAUUUUUUCCAAAAAUUCGACAAAGUUUCAGUACCAUUUGGACAUCGAUUUUUCAGAAUAGGUGAUCAAAUCACUUAACCCUCAAACUGCUAUUUUCCAUUAAAAAAUUUCUCCCAUUAUUCAAAAGCCGGUCAACAUGCAAAUCCAAAGUAAAUAAAUGCACAAUAGAAAGUAAGAAACAUCAGGAUGGUCUUUUUAUACACCUGUCCUAGACACACCCAACCCCUGUGUUGAAUCUUCAAAGUCAAAUGCACGUGAUGCAAACAAAUGCUCUUACUAGGGAUCCGACAUGAGGUCUUGUUUUUCUAGGUUUAAAUCAUGGGGUGUUGGUCUAGACAUGGGUACCCGAGCACAACUGGGGUCAAGGAGGGGGCGAAGUACUGGGAGCACUAAAGUCUGCCCGGCCUUGUCGCAUGAACAACCUCACUCUAUUUGGUAUAAUUUCUAUUGAAAAGUAGGCUGCGCGAACGCAUGCACCAUUUUUAAAAGACUCAGAAGGGUGGCAUAAGAAGACAACUAUAUACAAUUCAACAAUAUUAAUGCGGUAAACAGAUAACAUUUAGCGAAAAGGUUCACAUAAAAAUAAUAAUAUCAACAAUAAGUAAACCAAGUAAAAAUCAUAUUAACAAGCACAAAUUCUUGAACCCUGAACCAGAAGUUCUGGGUUCUUUCCUCCAGCAGAGUCCCCAGUGCUGUCACACCUCUUUUUUACAUACCCCAGAAGGGUACAAGGGAAUUUUUCCAAUUAAAGGAUAAUCGAAACAAGAUUAUUUAAUUAAAAAUCAGAGUCGACACUUGGGAUUAUUAUUGGUGUCUCCAAUCACCGCUUCAAAACCUGAAUCGAGGGAAACGUUGGCUCUGUUAUACAGUAUGCCAACAUAGAAAUUCGGGUAAGAAAUUCUGUUAACCCGGGAGAAGGUGUUAGGCAUUCCCUGGUUCCGUGGUUCUAGCACGGUCACUUUGAUCAUACUUGGCAUUUCAAAAUUAUUUAACUACUCAUUUUAGAAUAUGUGUGCAUACCUUUUAUCGCAUUUAAAUUAAGAAAAAUUAUCUCGAAAUGGGCCACGCGUACGUGUAUCCAUUUGUUUGGAACGUAAAAGAAUAUGACACACGAACAUGUCCACAAUUAAUAACUCUUUAUUUUUAUUAAGAAAAUUCGGGCCGAAGUUGCGCGGAUGCAUACUCUAGUUUUAUUUUUAGAAUCGUAAUCAUGUCACGCGAACGUGUCCACAAUCGUGAUAGUAUAUUAAAUGGACCUAAAGGUUUUUCUACGAAUAUUCCUCAUUAAUAACUAAAUAUAGUGUUUGCGAGGGUCGUAGAAAUUUGCUAAAUGGUGCACCUCAAACUCUAAGAAUUUUAAAGAUUAAUUAAAACGAGGGCCAUGCAACUGAGAUUUUGUUUGGCACGACACACCUUAAAUAAAACCGAAGGGCUUCUAAACUAACUCAUGAGGGCCAUACACUACUUGUAUUAUAUAAUAUUGCAAUCCCCAAAUCAACUUGCUUGAACUUAUUCAAAGUAUUUGGGCCAAAGGCUAACCAUGUUGUUUAUGAAGGCGUGACUCAAUUAUUAAUAAAAUGAACCCAAGUUUUAGUGAAGAAUAGAGGUCUAAUGAAGCAAGCUCGGAACACCUCUUAGCUGAGCCAACCCUAAGCCCAAACUUUUAAACCCAAUUGAUGACACAACACCAAACAAAAUUGCAAAUCUAAUCAAAACUAUAUAGAACCUGACAUUGCAUUAUCAAACUUACUUUUGCAUUUCAGUUAAUUAAACCCCAAAUCAACCGACUGGGUGUUCUUAAACUCAGAUACCAUUUUUACUUUCAACGAAUUCACGUUGUCCAGAACCAUUUCUACUUUGAAACAAAAUAACUCAGGCACCUACCCUUCAAAGCAACAAUGACAAAUUUCCUUUCUCUUAGCAUGAUCUUACAUAAUUCAAACUCAAGAAGCAUUCUGAUAUUCUAUUGUAUGAACAUAGCAACAAACAUACUAUAAUAACAUAAGAAGCAAGCUCUCGACCUAUUACUAAUCCGAACCUAUGUGUUACCCUUCAAACAUCUCUUAACCAUUCAACGACACCAAAUCAACAAUAAGAGCUCAAUAAUUGAAAUGUCCCCAGCUACAAAAUUUAAUUAAAUACUAGAUUCUAUGCCAAAUAUAAACAGAAUACAACUCCUUAGAGGAAAUUGUCAGUAGCCAACACCAUAUGCAUUAAAGGUAAAUCAGAAAAAUGGACUGAAGAUCAUGCUUCAACAUUCUGUUUCUCAUUUGGAUUUCUCAUUGAGAUGAGAUGCAAGUACAUUUACCUGGAAAUGGAAAGGGAAAAGAGGUGAAGAAGCUUUAACUACAGCUGAUCAGAAACCAACAAACAACCAAUGGAAAAUAGGCAAUGAAAAACUGAUUCCCAGCAUCUAACUUGAAACCAGUUCACCAACUUAAACCAUUUCUCUAUUUCAACAAUGAGACUUUUGAUUUGCAAGAGUUUUUUUUUCUGCCAGAACGAAUCAGAAAUACCAAGCCAGGAGCAAUUUUUUUCAGUUUUCUAAAUAAUGCAAAAUUUCAAAAAUUAAUAAGAAACCUCAAUUGUUUCAUUUUCUGGGAUCUAUCUCCCUCCCCCACCCUCCUUGAUAGGCAAGAAUGAGAUGCCUUUAUAGGCAAAGCAAUAGGGCAGCCAGACACUAAUUUUGCAUUCUGCCCCCUUUCCAAUUUUAUUUUUGUUCAAUUGACACCACAAACUUAAAAAACAAUUAUUGAAUUACUCACUUCUACUUCCCCAAUUGAUAACUUCACCAUAAAGACAUGACCUAGUUCUUUGACUUAUUGCACACUGACCCCUUAUCUUAUUUCUAGAAUGUUCUCAAUUUGUUGUAGAGAAGAUUCCCUCGAUUUUUGUUCCCAUAUUGCCCUGUUAGCUCCCUCAUAUUAAUAUCUGAUGAAUGCUCUUUGGGCUUGAGUUACCUAGCCCAUGAGUGCACGGUCUGAACCAUACCGAACAAGCCCAAAAACGAAGGGUGAGAACAAAACAAAAAUUGAAAAUAGAAAUUACCCUUUUUAUCAAUUAACAUAAACUAAUCUAAUGAAAUGGAUUAAACUUUGAAAAUCACUUAAAACGCAAACAAGAAGAAGAGAAUACCAAUCCUGAUGCGUUCUGAACUCAAAUACAAUUUGCCUAGUCAAGGCAAAUCGACCAAACUUUGACAAAUUCGAAAUA
rnacentral:lncRNA from 1 species